UACAGAGGAGCCAAGCGUUGUCCGGAUUGACUGGGCGUAAAGCGCACGCAGGCGGACGCGCGCGUGGGGUGUGAAAUCUGGCCGCUUAACGGCCAGGCGCCAUCCCAUACGGCGUGUCUGGAGUGAUGCAGAGGUCGAUGGAAUUGCCGGUGUAGCGGUGAAAUGCGCAGAUAUCGGGAGGAACACCAGUAGCGAAGGCGGCUCGCUGGGCCAUUCCUGACGCUGAGACGCGAAAGCUAGGGGAGCGAACAGG
rnacentral:rRNA from 1 species